rnacentral:tRNA from 2 species
GCCGGGCUAGCUCAGUCGUUAGAGCAUGAGACUUUUAAUCUCAGGGUCGUGGGUUCGAUCCCCACGUUGGGCG